CUCCAAGUCCAAAUGCAGUAGCAGCAUUCGUGUUACGCGAACAAGUAGAAAUCAAAGUGCAAAGCUUGGUACUCAGCCCCUGCUCCACAGGCAGAAUGUAGGCUCUCCUGGGGAUCCCUCUGUCAUGCUUGUAUAGCUGCAUGCAGAAACCAGAGAGGGAUGAAGGUUGCAGAACUAAAAGGAUACCUGAAGGAGAAGCUUCCAUUUCUGUUUCAGGGUGCCAUCAACCUCAGCCUGCAGCCAGAGGAAAGUGCUCAGGAAAGUGUGUCUGAGCUCCCCACAGCCCUGUGAUGCAACUUGCUUGCUCAGCAACGAUGGGACAUCAACUGUCUAAUUGCACAGAGAUGACAGAGGAAGGAACCCAGGGCAAAAUUUCAACCAGCUGUGGCACCAGCCUCCAAGCACAAAGGAGGAAGGACUAGAUGUGCUGCUGAGUGGUCUUGGGGACGCGUGGGAAACUUUUUAUUUUGCUUCCAAUACUCUCCCUUAUCUCACCUGGAGUGAGCACAUGGCCACAUGGUGCUGAGCUGCUGCAAGGUUACACCACAACAGAUGGAGGACAUACACUCACACAUUUCUCCUGGACGCUUCCCCAGCACACAGAAGCACCAAUCUUGACAUUUCAACUUGUGCCACACCUGUGAUACUACUAUGGAUGCACCUCAAAAACCUCUCCCAUCCAGA